GACGAACGCUGGCGGCGUGCCUAAUACAUGCAAGUCGAGCGAAUCUAUGGGAGCUUGCUCCCUGAGAUUAGCGGCGGACGGGUGAGUAACACGUGGGUAACCUGCCUGUAAGACUGGAAUAACUUCGGGAAACCGGAGCUAAUACCGGAUACUUUCUUUUCUCGCAUGAGGGAAGAUGGAAAGAUGGUUCUGCUAUCACUUACAGGUGGACCCGCGGCGCAUUAGCUAGUUGGUGAGGUAACGGCUCACCAAGGCGACGAUGCGUAGCCGACCUGAGAGGGUGAUCGGACACACUGGGACUGAGACACGGCCCAGACUCCUACGGGAGGCAGCAGUAGGGAAUCUUCCGCAAUGGACGAAAGUCUGACGGAGCAACGCCGCGUGAGCGAAGAAGGCCUUCGGGUCGUAAAGCUCUGUUGUUAGGGAAGAACAAGUACGAGAGUAACUGCUCGUACCUUGACGGUACCUAACCAGAAAGCCACGGCUAACUACGUGCCAGCCGCCGCCGUAACAC
rnacentral:rRNA from 1 species